AUCCUGGGGCUGGAGCAGGUCCCAAGGGUAUGGCUGUUCGCCAUUUAAAGCGGUACGCGAGCUGGGUUCAGAACGUCGGGAGACAGUUCGGUCCCUAUCUUCCGUUGGCGUAGGAGAGUUGAGGAGAGCUGACCCUAGUACGAGAUGACCGGGUUGGACAUACCACUGGUGUACCAGUUGUUCUGCCAAGAGCAUCGCUGGGUAGCAACGUAUGGAUGAGAUAACCGCUGAAAGCAUCUAAGCGGGAAGCCAACUCCAAGAUGAACUCUCCCUGAAGUUCCCUUGAAGACUACAAGGUUAAUAGGCUAGGUGUGUAAGAGAAGUAAUUCUUUCAGCUGACUAGUACUAAUAGAACGUUCGUCUUUUUUAA
rnacentral:rRNA from 1 species